AUGCACGCUGGCGGCGUGCCUAAUACAUGCAAGUCGAGCGAACAGACGAGGAGCUUGCUCCUCUGACGUUAGCGGCGGACGGGUGAGUAACACGUGGAUAACCUACCUAUAAGACUGGGAUAACUUCGGGAAACCGGAGCUAAUACCGGAUAAUAUAUUGAACCGCAUGGUUCAAUAGUGAAAGGCGGUUUUGCUGUCACUUAUAGAUGGAUCCGCGCCGCAUUAGCUAGUUGGUAAGGUAACGGCUUACCAAGGCGACGAUGCGUAGCCGACCUGAGAGGGUGAUCGGCCACACUGGAACUGAGACACGGUCCAGACUCCUACGGGAGGCAGCAGUAGGGAAUCUUCCGCAAUGGGCGAAAGCCUGACGGAGCAACGCCGCGUGAGUGAUGAAGGUCUUCGGAUCGUAAAACUCUGUUAUUAGGGAAGAACAAAUGUGUAAGUAACUAUGCACGUCUUGACGGUACCUAAUCAGAAAGCCACGGCUAACUACGUG
rnacentral:rRNA from 1 species